GUUGCACUCAAACCCAAAGACCACAUCUUCAGUGUUGUGGUUUUUAUAAGUGUGUGCAAACAUGAAAUGUGAACCUUGUCGCCUUUCUCUGCUGCUGCUGUGCCUCUGAAAGUGAAUCCAAGGUUCAACAAAC